UACAGAGGUCUCAAGCGUUGUUCGGAUUCAUUGGGCGUAAAGGGUGCGUAGGCGGCGCGGUAAGUCGGGUGUGAAAUCUCGGGGCUUAACUCCGAAACUGCAUUCGAUACUGGCGUGCUUGAGGACUGGGAGAGGAGACUAGGAAUUCAUGGUGUAGCAGUGAAAUGCGUAGAGAUCAUGAGGAAGACCAGUGGCGAAGGCGGGUCUCUGGACAGUUCCUGACACUGAGACACGAAGGCCAGGGGAGCAAACGGG
rnacentral:rRNA from 1 species